rnacentral:rRNA from 1 species
CCUACGGGGGGCUGCAGUGGGGAAUAUUGCACAAUGGGGGAAACCCUGAUGCAGCAACGCCGCGUGAGUGAUGAAGGCCUUCGGGUCGUAAAGCUCUGUCCUAAGGGAAGAAUACUGACGGUACCUUAGGAGGAAGCCCCGGCUAACUACGUGCCAGCAGCCGCGGUAAUACGUAGGGGGCGAGCGUUGUCCGGAAUCACUGGGCGUAAAGGGUACGUAGGCGGCCAGGUAAGUCAGAUGUGAAAGGCAUGGGUUCAACCCAUGCAAGCAUUUGAAACUGAUUGGCUUGAGUCGAGGAGAGGAAAGAGGAAUUCUUGGUGUCGAGGUGAAAUGCGUAGACAUCAGGAGGAAUACCAGUGGGGAAGGCGGCAUGCUGGCAUUUGAUUGACUAUAAGGUACGGAAGCGUGGGGAACAAACAGGAUUAGAUACCCCAUUAGUC